GAUACAGAUGCCUAUGGUCCGUUUCAUCAUUCUCAAAUGUGAUGGUCUGAUUUUCAAAAAAGUCAAUGGCUGUCCCAUUGGGGAUGAAGACAGUAAAAGAACAACGUUCUCCUAUUGUACCACAGCUUGGAGGUGCUGAGGCAGCUUGCUGUCAACAGAACAUUCAACAGAUGCAGACACUACCCCACAGACUGCAAAAGGACACAUUCAACUACUAUUGGUCCUGACACAAGAUACAGCAGAGUUCAGGAAUCAAAGAAACUGCAUCUCAACCGGGAAGUUCUAGCCUGGAUGAGUCUAUACCUGACCAUGGAAGGCAGGAGACAGAACAGGUCACUGGCUGGGUGGGAGGCAUCCACCGCAAUCUAGUGUUCCCUGCACAGACUACGCUGGGCGUAGAUUGCGUCCACAAGGGGUAGGUCAAUACCAAUACAUCAGUUAGCUGCAUGCACCACCAGGUUAAGUAGGAUUUUCUGGUUUUGGGUGGUAUUGCAGCAGGGCCGCCGAGAGCCAGCCCGGGCCCCGGGACGGAAGACCUCUCCGGGCCCCUUGUACUUGUAAUCGUAAAUUAU